GAGUCUCACAAUAUAGUUCUGGCCUGGAAUUCACCAUAUGUCAAAGAGGCUGGCCUUGAACUUGAACUGCUUCCAGAGUGCUAGGAUUACAGAAAGUACUUCGAGAAAGAGAUAAUUAGUAGGGCAGAGCCGAAGCUCUGUGGCCUGCUUGCAGAAAGCCCUGGGCCCCAUCAUCUGUGCUUGCAAAAAUCAAUCAACCAACCAAUCCAUCAAUCAUCACCAAUCAUCAAUCAAUCAACCAAAAUAAAAUAAAAGCAAAACAAUGAAAACAAA